rnacentral:ncRNA from 12 species
GAGCAUCUAGGGCGGAACAGACAACCGCCACCUUUAGUAUGGAUAUGUGGGGAAUCGCCGUCCCACCGGUGUUA